rnacentral:rRNA from 1 species
CUGCGGAAGGAUCAUUGUCGUGACCCUGACCAAAACAGACCGCGCACGCGUCAUCCAACCCGUCGGUGACGGCACUGUCCGUCGCUCGGCCAAUGCCUCGACCACCUCCCCUCCUCGGAGCGGGUGGGGGCUCGGGGUAAAAGAACCCACGGCGCCGAAGGCGUCAAGGAACACUGUGCCUAACCCGGGGGCAUGGCUAGCUUGCUAGCCGUCCCUUGUGUUGCAAAGCUAUUUAAUCCACACGACUCUCGGCAACGGAUAUCUCGGCUCUCGCAUCGAUGAAGAACGUAGCGAAAUGCGAUACCUGGUGUGAAUUGCAGAAUCCCGCGAACCAUCGAGUCUUUGAACGCAAGUUGCGCCCGAGGCCACUCGGCCGAGGGCACGCCUGCCUGGGCGUCACGCCAAAACACGCUCCCAACCACCCUCAUCGGGAAUCGGGAUGCGGCAUCUGGUCCCUCGUCUCGCAAGGGGCGGUGGACCGAAGAUCGGGCUGCCGGUGUACCGCGCCGGACACAGCGCAUGGUGGGCGUCCUCGCUUUAUCAACGCAGUGCAUCCGACGCGCAGCCGACAUUAUGGCCUCAGAACGACCCAGCAAACGAAGCGCACGUUGCUUCGACCGCGACCCCAGGUCAGGCGGGACUACCCGCUGAGUUUAAGCA